AAAGUCGUAACAAGGUCUCCGUUGGUGAACCAGCGGAGGGAUCAUUAAAAGAAGCCGAAAGGCUGCUUCAAACCAUCGCGAACCUAUCCAUCAGCGUUGCUUCGGCGGGAGAAGGCCCCCGGACACACAUCCCCCCGCGGGGGGGUGUGAAGUCCGCGGCGCGGGGCACCCUCGUCUCCGGACCUUGGGGACCCGCCCGCCGGAGGUACGAAACUCUUCUGUAAUCUCUGCGGCAUCUCUGAGUGGCAAGCAAACAAGUCAAAACUUUCAACAACGGAUCUCUUGGUUCUG
rnacentral:misc_RNA from 1 species